rnacentral:rRNA from 1 species
AGAGUUUGAUCCUGGCUCAGAUUGAACGCUGGCGGCAUGCCUUACACAUGCAAGUCGAACGGCAGCACGGGAGCAAUCCUGGUGGCGAGUGGCGAACGGGUGAGUAAUAUAUCGGAACGUGCCCAGUCGUGGGGGAUAACGCAGCGAAAGCUGUGCUAAUACCGCAUACGAUCUAUGGAUGAAAGCGGGGGAUCGCAAGACCUCGCGCGAUUGGAGCGGCCGAUGUCAGAUUAGCUAGUUGGUGGGGUAAAGGCCCACCAAGGCGACGAUCUGUAGCUGGUCUGAGAGGACGACCAGCCACACUGGGACUGAGACACGGCCCAGACUCCUACGGGAGGCAGCAGUGGGGAAUUUUGGACAAUGGGCGCAAGCCUGAUCCAGCAAUGCCGCGUGCAGGAG